rnacentral:rRNA from 1 species
AUUGAACGCUGGCGGCAUGCCUUACACAUGCAAGUCGAACGGCAGCACGGGGCAACCUGGUGGCGAGUGGCGAACGGGUGAGUAAUGCAUCGGAACGUGCCAUUGAGUGGGGGAUAACGUAGCGAAAGUUGCGCUAAUACCGCAUAUUCUGUGAGCAGGAAAGAGGGGGAUCGCAAGACCUCUUGCUUUAGGAGCGGCCGAUGUCGGAUUAGCUAGUUGGUGAGGUAAAGGCUCACCAAGGCGACGAUCCGUAGCGGGUCUGAGAGGAUGAUCCGCCACACUGGGACUGAGACACGGCCCAGACUCCUACGGGAGGCAGCAGUGGGGAAUUUUGGACAAUGGGCGCAAGCCUGAUCCAGCCAUGCCGCGUGAGUGAAGAAGGCCUUCGGUUGUAAGCUCUGUCAGCUGGAACGAAAAAACUAGACGGUACCAGCAGA